GUUUGUCGUUAUGGACAGUGCGGUAUCCACGGACGUUAGAGCAAACGUCAUAAAUAAGGGUGCUGCAGUAGUCGUGGUGGUCGUGGAGGUCGUGGAAACAGUGGAGAAACGGUGGAUUAUCAUUUACAACUCGAAAUCUUAUCAAAAAUGUCUCAUUAAAAUUUACGACACUGUUA